rnacentral:rRNA from 1 species
GUGAGGAAUUUUGCGCAAUGGGGGCAACCCUGACGCAGCGACGCCGCGUGGAGGACGAAGUCUUUCGGGAUGUAAACUCCUGUCAGUGGGGACGAUAAUGACGGUACCCACAGAGGAAGCACCGGCUAACUCCGUGCCAGCAGCCGCGGUAAGACGGAGGGUGCAAGCGUUGUUCGGAAUUACUGGGCGUAAAGCGUAUGUAGGCGGCAAGUUAAGUUCAAUGUUAAAGCCCACGGCUCAACCGAGGAGAUGCAGUGAAUACUGGCUAGCUAGAGGGUGUUAGAGGAAGACGGAAUUCCCAGUGUAGCGGUGAAAUGCGUAGAUAUUGGGAGGAACAUCGGUAGCGAAAGCGGUCUUCUGGGACAUACCUGACGCUGAGGUACGAAAGCGUGGGGAGCAAACGGGAUUAGAUACCCCUGUAGUCC